rnacentral:rRNA from 1 species
GAUGAACGCUGACAGCAUGCUUAACACAUGCAAGUCAACUUGAACUUCGGUUUGGGUGGCGGACGGGUGAGUAACGCGUAAAGAACUUGCCUCACAGAUAGGGACAACAUUUGGAAACGAAUGCUAAUACCUGAUAUUAUGAUUAUAUGGAAUCGUAUAAUUAUGAAAGCUAUAUGCGCUGUGAGAGAGCUUUGCGUCCCAUUAGCUAGUUGGAGAGGUAACGGCUCACCAAGGCGAUGAUGGGUAGCCGGCCAGAGAGGGUGAUCGGCCACAAGGGGACUGAGACACGGCCCUUACUCCUACGGGAGGCAGCAGUGGAGAAUAUUGGACAAGGGACCAAGAGUCUGAUCCAGCAAUUCUGUGUGCACGAUGAAGUUUUGCGGAAAGUAAAGUGCUUUCAGUUGGGAAGAAAAAAUGACGGUACCAACAGAAGAAGUGACGGCUAAAUACGUG